CUUGAUGCUGUGACUCCAGGCUCUGUCUGACUUGAGCCAAGUCUUCUUUUUGAGCAGGACCUCAGCUUUCUCUCCUGUAAAGUGGGUGGGUUGGACCAGACUCCCUUUAAGGGACUUUGCAGAGCUCAUUUUUAGAGAAGUUCGUUCCUCUGGGAUGCUUCUAGUCAUUAAAGGUGUCAGGGGCAGAGAACAGGCCUGCAAAGGUGCCUCCUGGUGACAUACCUCUGCUGGAUGGACUGGAACCCUUCAGAACACAGUCCCCCUUCCUCCACUUCACUGAUGGAGAACUUGGCCCUGCAGCCUGGAGCUUGGCCCUGCAGCUUCACUCAGUCAAGGGCCCAGCCUGUCAUGUUCCUUUCCUUCCCCUAGCAGCCAAGUGUGGUCCAGGCUUCAGUGGAAGGGGUCACUCCUCACUCUGGCCCUGGGAAUGAGUCCCCAGGAUCAGCUGCCUGAGACCUUUCCCUGAGAUCUUGAGCCAGAGAUAGCCUCAGAGCCCUGCUUCAUGGGCAGCCCACCCUCGAUUUCCCCACCUGUGCCUCCAGGCUGUACCUCCCUAAGGGGAGGUACCCUCAGGGAGGCCUCAUCAGGGAGAUGUUGCCCUCAGUUCUUAGAGCUCUGAGCUGGGUUUGCUGGAGAGGGAUACCCUGAGUCCUGCCUUGGGGAGCUCCCGUGGAUGUGGGUUGCAGCCCAGGCAUCCCAAAGGAUCAGCAGAAACAAACGGCAUGUUUGGAAGGAGGGAGCUGAGUCUGGUGAGGAGGAGGUGGACAGGAUCCCUGCAUAGAGAAUGGGAUUGCUGUGGGCCGGG
rnacentral:lncRNA from 1 species